ensembl:lncRNA
UGUGUUGUUGUGAAAAGUGUGUUCGUGUGUAGUCUUAUUAUUUUGAUGUGUGUGAUUGUGCACAUGUGUGUGUGUGUGUGUGUGUGUGUGUGUGUGUGUGUGUGUGUGUGUGUGUGUGAUUCUGUAUCUAUUCACUGUUAUUUCUCUCAUCAGCAGGUUGAAGAACAGAAAGUGUGUAAAGGUCAUUUUCCAGAAACUGAAACCUCUCCAUUUGCUAAAAUAAGUUCAACACUUAAGUAGUGAAACACAGAAUAAGUUCAUGUGUUUCUUGUUUUCAGAAGCAGGGGAUUUACAGUCAUAUCUAAACUCAGUAUUUACUCUGUAAACAGUGUCAGUGUCGCCCCGCAGAGAUUACAUCUUCAAACCCUCUCUGAGAUCAGUUCAUCAGAAUAAACCCACGCUGAUUCAGACAGAAACUAGACGAGUCGCUGGGAGAGAAACAUGAACACAUGUAUGAUUUAUGCAGUAAUAAACUCCCACCUGGAGAAGCUGAAGCGUCACAUCCACAUGUAGAUCAUUCUGCCUGGAUCUGACCUGAUCAACUGAUGAUGUGAUGAUGAUCUUCUCAGGAAACACACACACUGAAGAAGAACAGAGAGCGUCACACACACGGGAAACAGCAGCAGGUGCAAACACCCCCCACAGAGAACACAGCUAGCUCAUAAAACCUCGUUUUCAAAUGUUUCCAUAUGAUUCAAACAUUAUUAAAAGGUUGUUCUUACAGCACAAAAUAUUACCCAAAAUAUAACAUCAGUUGAAUGAAAAUGUUCUUUCAACUUUAUGUGAAUGUUCAGGACGUUUAGAGAAUGUUAAUCACUCAACAUUAUGAGAACAUGUAUCAAAUAUCUAUAAAGUUAUAAAAACGUUCCAUAAAUGUUACUUUAAGAAUGUUUGUCCUAACAUUUAUAUCUUGUGUUUGCAGAGAGGAAUCAUGUUUGAGAUCAAGCUGAGCGAUGAAGAGACGAAGACUGAGGAAGACGAGGAGUCAGAGGUGCAGUCACACACACACACACACACACUCAAACACACACACACACACACUCCAACACACACACACACACACCAAAACACACACAAACAAACAAACACACACACACACAGACGCAAACACACACACACACACGCACACACUCAAACACACACACACUCACACACACUCAAACACACACACACUCACACACACACACACACAACACACACACACACACUCACACACACUCACACACACUCACACACACUCACACACACUCACACACACUCAAACACACACUCAAACAAACACACACAACACACACACACACACACCCCCACACACACACAGCCACACACACACACACACGCACACACUCAAACACACACACACUCAAACAGACACACACACACACACACCACACACACACACACUCAAACACACACACACACACACACACUCGUGAUGCACACUAACAGACCAGAGCGUCAUCUGAGUGUGUGUGUGUGUGUGUGUGUGUGUGUGUGUGUGCGUGCAGGACGAGCCCCUGAACCACACACUGACGUUUGCACAAGGAGAAAAGCUACGCAACCAACCGCAGGGGUCAGAGGUCAGACAGGAAGUGGAGGAGGAAGUGGUGAAGAGAGCCGAGUGGCAUCGAGACGCAGCGGAGACGUUUCUGAACGCUCUGGAGAACAUGGAUGUGAUGACGGAGAGCAGCAUGAGUCUCGCUCAGACCGUUUCAGAGGAGCAGGAGAGAGGAAACAGGAAGCACUGGACGAAUCGUCUACCGGAGACUCUGCUGAACGCUCUCUCUCAAGCAGACAUCAUGGACUGCAGCACAGAGACGCUGGAGUCGUCAGAGGAGACGCGUCUCACAGAGGAAGAGUGUGAUGAAGAUGAAGAUGACGUGGAGGUGGAUGAAGAGCGUCUGGAGCCUCGAUCAGAUGAUGAAGACACGAACUUUGAGGAGUCUGAGGACGAGCUGCGGGACGAGGUGAGCGACUCCAUGAGGAACCUCCUCACCACACAGGAGCAGGACGAGGAUCGAGCGCCACAGGAAGUGAACAGCAGAUCAGAGGAAGUGAGGGAGGAGACGCAGCCACCCGCUCAUGACGAGUCUGCAGUGAACUGAUCCUGUGUUUCAUUCUUUUUGAGUUCUUUUUCUUUCUUUCUUUCAUUCUCUAUGAAUAUCUGUUAAAGUGUAAUGUAUUUCUGUGAUGCACAGCUGUAUUUUCAGCAUCAUUACUCCAGUCUUCAGUGUCACAUGAUCUUCAGAAAUCAUUCUAAUAUGAUGAUUUGCUGCUCAAGAAACAUUUCUGAUUAUUAUCAAUGUUGAACACAGUUGUGCUGCACAAUAUUUCUGUGGAAACUGUGAUACAUUUUAUUUUUCAGAAUUCACAGAUGAACAGAAAGUUCAGAAGAACAGCAUCUAUUUGAAAUAGAAAUAUUUUGUUACGUUUACUGGCACAUUUCAUCAGUUGAAUGCAGACUUGAUUAAUAAAAGUAUUAAUUUCUUUCCA